GAAGUAAUCCCUCCGUCCCGAAUUACUUGUCGCGGGUAUGGAUGUAUCUAGAUGUAUUUUAUUUCUAGAUACAUCCAUUUCUGCGACGAGUAAUUCGGGACGGAGGGAUUAGUAU
rnacentral:pre_miRNA from 1 species